rnacentral:rRNA from 1 species
GAUGAACGCUGGCGGCGUGCCUAAUACAUGCAAGUCGAGCGAACGGACGAGAAGCUUGCUUCUCUGAUGUUAGCGGCGGACGGGUGAGUAACACGUGGAUAACCUACCUAUAAGACUGGGAUAACUUCGGGAAACCGGAUCUAAUACCGGAUGAUAUUUUGAACCGCAUGGUUCAAAAGUGAAAGACGGUCUUGCUGUCACUUAUAGAUGGAUCCGCGCUGCAUUAGCUAGUUGGUAAGGUAACGGCUUACCAAGGCAACGAUGCAUAGCCGACCUGAGAGGGUGAUCGGCCACACUGAACUGAGACACGGUCCAGACUCCUACGGGAGGCAGCAGUAGGGAAUCUUCCGCAAUGGGCGAAAGCCUGACGGAGCAACGCCGCGUGAGUGAUGAAGGUCUUCGGAUCGUAAAACUCUGUUAUUAGGGAAGAACAUAUGUGUAAGUAACUGUGCACAUCUUGACGGUACCUAAUCAGAAAGCCACGGCUAACUACGUG